UGUUGCAAAUUCUAAGGAGGGUGUUCAUUUGGCCCUGAAUCUUGUUCUGCAACUUUGACCAUCCAACUUGAUUUGGAUACAAUUUUGCCUUGCUAAUAUUGUGGACUUCAUGAAAGGGACCUCAACCAAGAGGAUCUACGCAGACUAAUAAGAUAGGAAGGUGUGUUGGGUAUGCACAACAGAGGACCUACAAAUAUGUCAGCAGCUCCUACUUAUCCCCGUAGGAUCUAAUCUGACCUACUGACCAUAUACUCAGUAUAGGAAUUCGAUAAAAAUUGAUCUUCCCUUUGGGAGUAACGGUUUUGAUUUUUAGGAUAUAUGGUCGAUGUGGUCUUACUAUGGAUAACAGGGACAGAUCUAGGUGCCGCAAUAGAUACUAUAUAUUUGGUUAUGGCAAUGAGAGCCAGGAUGGAACACUCGAAUUAAAAACAGGUCUAUCUGGCCAUUCAACAACCAGAGAUUGUUCCAUUUUCUUGUUUUUCUGAAUUCUGAGUAAAGAUCCU